AAUGAUUUCAUGAGAAGUCCAGGCUCAAGCAAAAGUGAAAGUAAACGCAGACGUUAAGGCAAAGCGUUUGCUUCUUUGUCCAGUAUGUUGGAGCUUUACCGCAUUUAGUGGAUGGAUUUUCUUCAUCGGAACAACCUCAGUAAGGAAUAACGAGAAGGAAGCGUAAUUUACGGAAAACUAUCUGCAGAGGAUUAAGCGAAGUCUUGGUGCUCUUCAAGAGGAACAAGAGUGUGAUGGUUGCCUGUAAAGGAACUACGUCUGAAACUGAGACAGACAGUCGUGCUCAGGCGAAACUUCAAAUCUGUGGGAGAAGCUGUCAGGGCCGAUCUCAACUGACGAAGACCAGUCAGGAACCUCACAUGGAGAAACAAUGGACAAAUCUGCAACAGCAGCGAACAACAUCAGGUGGAUGGAAGAGGGAAGCCUCUCACCUUAUCCAACCAGGUCAGACCAGAGAUAUCGUUGGACUCGAUCAUGCUCUCCAGCCAUGGCCUCAUCCUCAUCCUUGUCACAGGCAUGUUUCCCCUAUAAAUGCGGAGCAACAGAGACAAGUUUUAGAUAAACGAGGAAUGCUGGUUUAUGUCAUACAUUGGUGAGAACCGCCGAACUCCUGCCUCUGCCUUGAUUUACUGCUGGCUGCUGGCCGCGCAGGAGGCUGAGAGGAGUUCACGGUCAGGGCAAGCAGGGCGCGCAGGGGGGCGUUUACGCGUAGGAGUCAACGGCAAGUAUGGAGGUUGCCAAAAAACGUCUCUUGACUGAAAUUUUAUGGCGUUUCAUUUAAAAAAAAAAAAAAAAAAAAAAAGGCUCUCAAACGCACACGGACUCAAUAGGUUGUUAAAAAGUUUGAAUAACCUGCAUUUUUCAAAGCAGGACGCAUUUGGACGGCUGUGCGCAUGGAGAAAAAGUGCGCGCAUCUGCAUGCAAAUCAUGCACAUUAAAAAAGUCUCUUCAUCGCUCAUUCAAUCCAUUCUUGUUAGUAAAGAAGAGGGGAGAUGCGCUAGAAUUGCUCAAAGUUAAAUAUUUGACAAGUUGGAAGCAAAGUUUGUGUAAAUCAAUGUGGCGAGAAGUAAAAGAGUUCCAAAGAAACACCAACAAUAUAAAUAUCAGAAGACUCAUUCUCAUUCAUUAUAUAAUUGGAGUAGAAGUGAUAAUAAGUAAAUUUCACUUACAGACUGUUUGCGCUAAGAUUCCAGAAGAAAAGGAAAAUGCACGGGAAUAGUCCGUUUGGUUUAAGUUUGCUCCAGAGAAGCUUCUUCUCUCGUCUGUAAGUUAUCCUCUUGUACACCUCUUUCAAACAGAAGUGGGCACUGACUCCCGGAGCGUGGAGCCUGCUCUUUUUAUUGGGUCUCGUGGGUAUUCCCCGGCUGGGCAGGGAGGCUGUCACUGUAAGAAAUGUCAACACUAAAAAAUAACCAACAUGCAAGUCUCGUCUUCACCUUGAACCUGGAAAUUAUGCGUUAUUUGACGGUAUAUUUGCACAUUUUACGCUUCACGGUAACAUCUGUGUUAUGUAUGCUUUGAAAAAUAUCUAUAUUUUUAGCUUUGCGUGUUUUAAAUUGAAGUAGAAGAGCAGAUCACUGCUGCAGGUAGGAAAAUAGAUGCUCUUUACGCAGUGGAAUAAACACCAAAGUGUCUUUCCACCGAAGCGACUUCCACUGGAAACAGCUCAUCAUAACAUCUGCAUAUGUGCAGAUAAUUAUUCAAAAUGUAAUUUGUGCAGAUUUAAUGCAGGACGAAACGUAGAACUUUAGUUGAUGGGGUUGAUAUUUUUUACAGUGGUUGUGCGCAUGCGUCGUUCGAGCCUCUGCUGGAGCAGUAGAUCCGUUUCCGAGAAAUCACGUUGAUGAGAGCAAGGAGGAAGUUGACAACAGGGCUGAUUGCGACGGCUUGAUGCACGUAGACAAAUCAUAAAACUGGAUGGUCUGACCUGUCUGUCACACCCAUGCUUAUUUUUAUGUAAUAUUUUGUACACAUAUUUACUUGUCUUACAGUGCAGAACUUCAUUUUUUAUGCAAAUGUAAAAAUAUUUGCACAUAUCGCACAUUAAUACCAUUAAAAGUUAAUGUUUUAAUGUUCAGUUUAAAGCCGCAUAGACUGCUGCAGUAAUAUCACUUAUAAUUUUAUUAUGAUUGUGCAAAAUCGUCUUUAUUCAACUAUUAAUUUGCAUGAAAACUAUUAUGGAGAAGUCCCAUCCACCUUGCAGGUGCCAAAGUUCAUCCCCCUGGCAUGAAAAACAUGUGCAUGAGACCAGCCCUUUAGUAUAAACAGCAACCGGCUCGAGAAGUGGAGCAUUUACAAGAAAUGAUGUAGUAAUUUUCGGCGGCCUGUAGGGGCGCUGUGCUCCAGGCUUUUCUCUCUGCGUUCAUGUGGUGCUGCUUGGUGCACAGAGGCGGCGGGAAAAGAAGCGAACUGUGAGGAAGCAGCAGCAGCAGGAGCAGCUGUGUGCGCUCAGGCUGCGCAGCUUUUACGCAUAUCAGUCAUGUCUGUGGCAACAACUCACCAAGACCUCUAGAGAAGAUAAAACUAAAGGAAGACUGACAUAAGACCACCAGACACAAGAACAGCUUCUUCCCCUCUGCCUUAUAAACAACUGAGCCAUUCCUCCACACUUGUAUAUACAGAAUACCAAUAUGUACAGCACUUUUGCUUUUUGCACUGUAUCAUCAUCAUUUUGCACUACUAUGUUUAAAUAUGCCUUCCUAGCUUGUAAAUAUCUGUAUAUAUUGUGUUCAAUUUAUUUGUAUUACUAUUAUCCCCCCCCCCCGUUCUUCUUUCUUUAGUUCAUUUUUAAUUAUUAUUCUCUUUCCAUAUUCCUAGGAUCACACCAACAGCCCAAACCAAAUUCCUUGUAUGUUGUACGUGGCCAUCAAAGCUGAUUUUGAUCAAACAAAAAUCUAAUAAAAUGGCACGAUCAAUUUUUUA